rnacentral:rRNA from 1 species
CCCUUAGAUGUCCGGGGCCGCACGCGCGCUACACUGAAGGAAUCAGCGUGGCUUUCUCCCUGACCCGAAAGGGUUGGGAAACCCGUUGAAUCUCCUUCGUGAUAGGGAUUGGGGCUUGAAAUUGUUCCCCAUGAACGAGGAAUUCCCAGUAAGCGCGAGUCAUAAGCUCGCGUUGAUUACGUCCCUGCCCUUUGUACACACCGCCCGUCGCUACUACCGAUUGAACGGUUUAGUGGGGGCCUCGGAUUGGUCUCGGCCCGCUCUUCACCGGGCGGCGCCGUUGGUCGAGAAGACGCUCGAACUUGAUCGUUUAGAGGAAGUAAAAGUCGUAACA